GUUUUAAAACCAGCUGUGUUGUAUCUCCAUUCAGUUCAUCUUUUAUUCACCCACAGAAAUCAUGUCAGAAGCAGGAAGUAGAAGACUCAACAAAAGCUUUUUCCAAAUAGUUGCCCUGCUGUUUCUAGUCCACAUCGGACAGUCGCUGGUUUUUGGAAAUUAUCGGCUUCGGAACCAGUUUGUGAAAGGCUGGAAGGAAACAAAAGCAUGGGUUACACAGCUGACAGAAGCCCAAAGUGGCACUGAAUUUAUCGUAACACUUUUGGACGAAGCGUACCCUCUGGCAACCAGGAAGCAUCUUGAAACAUUUUAUCAAUAUCUUCAAGCAGCCGUAGAUGAAGCACACAGACAGAAGGUAGAAAAAUCAUCGGAUGUUACAUUGAAGAUGCAACAACUUCGUAAGAUCCUGGAUGAUCCUGAACAGCAGGAAAAGUCAAAAGCUAAUCAUCCAUUGGUGAGAAAGUUAAAAAAAGCCAGAGAGGAACGUCUUGAAGUUUACAGGAUGUAUUUAGAGUUAAAGGAAGACGCCUUCAAUGGAAAAACAGAGGAGACUGAAACUAAACUGAGAUAUACUUUCAAUAAAAUCAAAUCCUGGAAGAAAAUAUACAAUUUUUUUGAAAAUUUACCAAUCAUGUUUGUUUGCGCGUUAGCACUUUAUUGGACAUGUUCCUGCAUCUGUUGUUGUAUAUUCUAAUACUUAUAAAUUGAUUCACAAUGAACUAUCAUUUUGUACCUGCUGAAAAGUUUAACUCUUAUUGAACUUUGAGUAAGUUGUUGGGGAAAACAGGAGACGGUUGUGUUUGUGUCUGUUAAACCAUUUUUAUGUUCAUAAAACUUUACUUACUGAAGGAUCAGUAAAUUGUAUUUUAAUAAACUGUUUCCUGGCAGAGGUAACUAUUUUACAAGAUGUGGUGCCAUGUUCACAAAAAUAAAGAUGAUGAUUAAUUGUGC